rnacentral:rRNA from 1 species
AGCUCCAAUAGCGUAUAUUAAAGUUGUUGCAGUUAAAAAGCUCGUAGUCGGAAAUCGGGGUGAUUCAUGGGCCCGGUCUGCCGGGAUGGCGUGUACUGGCUCAUUCAUCCUUCCUUCCAGUCAGCUACUUUUCGCUCUUAACUGAGCGUUGAGCAAGCUCUGGAUCGUUUACUUUGAAAAAAUUAGAGUGUUUAAAGCAGGCCCAUUUGUGCCUUGAAUAUUGCAGCAUGGAAUAAUGGAAUAGGGUUUUGUACCCGUUUUCGUUGGUUUUUGCGUACAGAACAAUGGUCAAUAGGAACGGUUGGGGAUAUUCAUAUUUAAUUGCUAGAGGUGAAAUUCUUGGAUUUAUGAAAGAUGAACUUCUGCGAAAGCAUUUAUCAAGGAUGUUUUCA